rnacentral:lncRNA from 1 species
GCUAGUCACAUAACAAAAUUUUGGCAAAAUGAGAGAAAGGAGAAGACAAAUCUUCUUAAUGAAGAAGGAGUUGAACAAAUAGGAAUUCUAAUGAUGGAAAGAAGCCCAAGUGUCGAGCUUUUGAGUCUGAGCCUGGAUGUUAGGUUUCCAAGCUGAAAGAGCCUAGGUGUCAGGUUGGAGAGCGAUUGUCGAGCUGCAAAACCGGGUUUUCGAUUUACAAGAUUGGGUUUUCGAGCUCAAUUCAAGUUGUUUCAGGGCUGUGCUGAGCUGGUUUUAGGUUAAUGUUGAGCUAAUUAAUGCCAAGUUAAUUGAUGCUGAGUUGAAUCAAAGUGAGAGACCAGAAGUCGGGAACAAAGAGAACUCGGGAAGCUCGCUGAGUAGUAAGGAGAAGACAAUAACAUAGCUGAGUAGCGUGGGGAGCCUAACAUUGUGGAUGGAGAGCUUGGCAUUGUGCGUGGAGAUAUCAGACGAUAAGUAGUUGGAGAGCCCGGCGAGCCAGGAAAGCAUGAACGAAGCUCAGACGAGCAACUAGAGAGCUUGGCUUGCUUGGUUUAGUGACUAUGUAUGAAUGAAUAGGCCUUAUUUCCCAACCAAGAGGGUAGGAGGGUGAAUUUGUUGUUAUAAAAAUUAUGUUCUUUUAAAAACCUUUGAAAAUGUUCUUCACUUUCUUGAAACACAAAAAAUAAAGAUUAUAAUGCAAUAAAAGAGAUAAGGGAUAGAAAGACAAACACCAAGAUUUUUAUAUUGGUUCAGUCUCAAGGCCUAAAUCCAGUCCCUUUCAAUGAACUUGAGAUUGAAAGCCUCUUAACUAUAAAGAUUGAGUUACACAAUAAGACUUACAGAGACCCUCUCUCAAUGUAAUAUCCUCUCCAACUCAAAAUCUAAUAUAGAAUAAUACAACACAGAAAGAACAAUCCUCCUUUCGCAAAAACCCUUUGAGACACCUCUCAAAGAACCCAAAACCUUACGUUCUCUUCCUGGCCACCGACAACAGGGAAACCACAAUCUUCAGAUUGUAAAAUCAACAAUACUUAUCAGGUACAGAUCACCUCAAAGUGAGGAUGAUGACCAACCAAAGAAAGAACAUAGAAAUUCCUCCAAGAAUCCUUAAAAUC